rnacentral:rRNA from 1 species
CAGUAGCCGCGGGAAUACCGAGGGUGCGAGCGUUAAUCGGAUUUACUGGGCGUAAAGCGUGCGUAGGCGGCUUCUUAAGUCGGAUGUGAAAUCCCUGAGCUUAACUUAGGAAUUGCAUUCGAUACUGGGAAGCUAGAGUAUGGGAGAGGAUGGUAGAAUUCCAGGUGUAGCGGUGAAAUGCGUAGAGAUCUGGAGGAAUACCGAUGGCGAAGGCAGCCAUCUGGCCUAAUACUGACGCUGAGGUACGAAAGCAUGGGGAGCAAACAGGAUUAGAUACCCCUGUAGUCCCUGUCUCUUAUAC